ACCCAGGCAUACCUUAGUACGGCGAGUGAGCGGUAAAAGCUCAAAUUUGAAAUCUGGUACUUUCAGUGCCCGAGUUGUAAUUUGUAGAAUUUGUCUUUGAUUAGGUCCUUGUCUAUGUUCCUUGGAACAGGACGUCAUAGAGGGUGAGAAUCCCGUUUGGCGAGGAUACCUUUUCUCUGUAAGACUUUUUCGAAGAGUCGAGUUGUUUGGGAAUGCAGCUCAAAGUGGGUGGUAAAUUCCAUCUAAAGCUAAAUAUUGGCGAGAGACCGAUAGCGAACAAGUACAGUGAUGGAAAGAUGAAAAGAACUUUGAAAAGAGAGUGAAAAAGUACGUGAAAUUGUUGAAAGGGAAGGGCAUUUGAUCAGACAUGGUGUUUUUUGCAUGCACUCGCCUCUCGUGGGCUUGGGCCUCUCAAAAAUUUCACUGGGCCAACAUCAAUUCUGGCAGCAGGAUAAAUCAUUAAGAAUGUAGCUACUUCGGUAGUGUUAUAGCUUUUUGGAAUACUGUUAGCCGGGAUUGAGGACUGCGCUUCGGCAAGGAUGUUGGCAUAAUGGUUAAAUGCCGCCCGUCUUGAACCAACGGACCA
rnacentral:rRNA from 1 species